rnacentral:rRNA from 1 species
UGAUCCUGGCUCAGGAUGAACGCUGGCGGCGUGCUUAACACAUGCAAGUCGAACGAACCUUCGGGUUAGUGGCGGACGGGUGAGUAACGCGUGGGAAUCUGCCCUCAGGAGGGGGAUAACGGUUGGAAACGACCGCUAAUACCCCAUAUGCCGAGAGGUGAAAUGAAUUUCGCCUGAGGAUGAGCCCGCGUCUGAUUAGCUAGUUGGUGGGGUAAUGGCCCACCAAGGCGACGAUCAGUAGCUGGUCUGAGAGGAUGAUCAGCCACACUGGGACUGAGACACGGCCCAGACUCCUACGGGAGGCAGCAGUGGGGAAUUUUCCGCAAUGGGCGAAAGCCUGACGGAGCAACGCCGCGUGAGGGAUGAAGGCCUCUGGGCUGUAAACCUCUUUUCUCAAGGAAGAAGACAUGACGGUACUUGAGGAAUAAGCCACGGCUAAUUCCGUGCCAGCAGCCGCGGUAAUACGGGAGUGGCAAGCGUUAUCCGGAAUUAUUGGGCGUAAAGCGUCCGCAGGCGGCCUUGUAAGUCUGUCGUUAAAGCGUGGAGCUUAACUCCAUUUCAGCGAUGGAAACUACAAGGCUUGAGUGUGGUAGGGGCAGAGGGAAUUCCCGGUGUAGCGGUGAAAUGCGUAGAUAUCGGGAAGAACACCAGUGGCGAAGGCGCUCUGCUGGGCCAUAACUGACGCUCAUGGACGAAAGCCAGGGGAGCGAAAGGGAUUAGAUACCCCUGUAGUCCUGGCCGUAAACGAUGAACACUAGGUGUCGGGGGAAUCGACCCCCUCGGUGUCGUAGCUAACGCGUUAAGUGUUCCGCCUGGGGAGUACGCACGCAAGUGUGAAACUCAAAGGAAUUGACGGGGGCCCGCACAAGCGGUGGAGUAUGUGGUUUAAUUCGAUGCAACGCGAAGAACCUUACCAGGGUUUGACAUCCUGCGAAUCCCUUGGAAACGAGGGAGUGCCUUCGGGAGCGCAGAGACAGGUGGUGCAUGGCUGUCGUCAGCUCGUGUCGUGAGAUGUUGGGUUAAGUCCCGCAACGAGCGCAACCCACGUCUUUAGUUGCCAGCAUUCAGUUGGGCACUCUAGAGAGACCGCCGGUGAUAAACCGGAGGAAGGUGUGGAUGACGUCAAGUCAUCAUGCCCCUUACAUCCUGGGCUACACACGUACUACAAUGCUACGGACAAAGGGUUGCAAGCUCGCGAGAGUUAGCUAAUCCCAUAAACCGUGGCUCAGUUCAGAUCGUAGGCUGCAACUCGCCUACGUGAAGGAGGAAUCGCUAGUAAUCGCAGGUCAGCAUACUGCGGUGAAUACGUUCCCGGGCCUUGUACACACCGCCCGUCACACCAUGGAAGUUGGCCAUGCCCGAAGUCGUUACUCCAACCCUUGUGGAGGAGGACGCCGAAGGUGGGGCUGAUGACUGGGGUGAAGUCGUAACAAGGUAGCCGUACCGGAAGGUGCGGCUGGAUCACCUCCUAACAGGGAGACAACAACUGAUCGUGAUGUCUGAGCGCUGAGCAAACGAAAGUUUGUGAAGCAAUUUUGUCUCAGGCCACGGUCCUGUCAUCUCGAAGGUCGAUCGGUACCUCAAGGUGAGCCAUCAAGCCCAAGGAAGAGCCAAACGUUUCGCAAGAAGCUGGAGGUGAAUCUGAGGAUGUUGUGAUGGACUCGUUUUCAGUUCCUAAACUUUGUCUAGGUCACCCCACCAAGGGUUUUCCAGUCUUUCCAGGAUUCAGAGCUUUUAAAGGCUUGAGAUCAAGGGAGAUGCAAGAGACUUGUGUCGAAGUGAUUGAUCCUGGGCCAUUAGCUCAGGUGGUUAGAGCGCACCCCUGAUAAGGGUGAGGUCCCUGGUUCAAGUCCAGGAUGGCCCAUUCGUGUUUGGGGGUUUAGCUCAGUUGGUAGAGCGCCUGCUUUGCAAGCAGGAUGUCAGCGGUUCGAGUCCGCUAACCUCCAUCCAACCAGGUGAAGACCACCAUCAGGAAGCGGCAACAGGAUGCAUUUUGAUCGGUGAGGUGACAAAGACUAUGUUCAGCUGAGGACUCCAGCCUCCUUUCAUUCCCAAGUGACAAUUUUCCAAUUUAGGAAAGUGCAGUCAACGGUGGUUGAAAGGAAGCUGGACUCGCUGAUUUUGGCGCGAGCCAAUGAUCGGUGACUCUAGCAAAGAACCUUGACAACUGCAUAGGUGAGUCUGGAUAAAGAAAGCAUCUCAUAGAUGCCCAGACGGACGUGAUUCUUGCUUGGUACUGCCAGGUGAGGAGCGUGUCUGGCUGGGAGAUUCUUGAGUUUAGAGCCGAGAGCUUCCAGCGUCUUUUCGCUCCGCCGAGGAGUGAAGAGUUUGAUUCUGCCUUUCAAACCAUCAAGACCUUAGAGAGAUCGGGAAACCGAAGGAUCAAUAGGUGGAGAGAAGUGAAAGCAAAAGAAUGGGUCUCAACAACCCUGAACGUUGGGAGUGUUAAUUGGUCAAGCUACAAAGGGUUCACGGUGGAUACCUUGGCACACAGAGGCGAUGAAGGACGUGGUUACCUGCGAAAAGUCUCGGGGAGCUGGAAACACGCUUUGAUCCGGGAAUCUCCGAAUGGGGCAACCCCUAGAACGGCCACCUGAAUCCAUAGGGUGGCGCGAGCCAACCCAGCGAACUGAAACAUCUUAGUAGCUGGAGGAAAGGAAAGUAAAAACGACUCCCUAAGUAGCGGCGAGCGAACGGGGAAGAGCCUAAACCGAUGGUUUCGACCAUCGGGGUUGUGGGACAGCAACGUGGACCAGGGACGUUAGUGGAAGCGUUUGAAAGGCGCGCCAUAGAGGGUGAAAGCCCCGUACGCGAAAACGAAACUGGCCUAGCUGUAUCCCGAGUAGCACGGAGCACGUGAAAUUCCGUGUGAAUCCGCGAGGACCACCUCGUAAGGCUAAGUACUCCUGUGUGACCGAUAGCGAAACAGUACCGCGAGGGAAAGGUGAAAAGAACCCCGGGAGGGGAGUGAAACAGAACAUGAAACCGUGAGCUACAAGCAAUGGA